GACGAACGCUGGCGGCGUGCCUAAUACAUGCAAGUCGUGCGGACCUUGUUGAAAGCUUGCUUUUAAAAGGUUAGCGGCGGACGGGUGAGUAACACGUGGGCAACCUGCCUGUAAGACUGGGAUAACGCCGGGAAACCGGGGCUAAUACCAGAUCGUUUUUUCCUCCGCAUGGAGGAAAAAGGAAAGGCGGCUUCGGCUGCCACUUACAGAUGGGCCCGCGGCGCAUUAGCUAGUUGGCGGGGUAAUGGCCCACCAAGGCAACGAUGCGUAGCCGACCUGAGAGGGUGAUCGGCCACAUUGGGACUGAGACACGGCCCAAACUCCUACGGGAGGCAGCAGUAGGGAAUCUUCCGCAAUGGACGAAAGUCUGACGGAGCAACGCCGCGUGAGUGAAGAAGGCCUUCGGGUCGUAAAACUCUGUUGCCGGGGAAGAACAAGUGCCGUUCGAACAGGGCGGCGCCUGGACGGGACCCGGCCAGAAAGCCACGGCUAACUACGU
rnacentral:rRNA from 1 species